UACUGGGAACAGAGGAAAUGGAC
rnacentral:piRNA from 1 species